GUAGGUGGCAAGCGUUAUCCGGAAUUAUUGGGCGUAAAGCGCGCGCAGGCGGUUUCUUAAGUCUGAUGUGAAAGCCCACGGGCUCAACCGUGGAGGGUCAUUGGAAACUGGGGAACUUGAGUGCAGAAGAGAAAAGCGGAAUUCCACGUGUAGCGGUGAAAUGCGUAGAGAUGUGGAGGAACACCAGUGGCGAAGGCGGCGUUUUUGGUCUGUAACUGACGCUGAGGCGCGAAAGCGUGGGGAGCAAACAGGAUUAGAUACCCUGGUAGUCCACGCCGUAAACGAUGAGUGCUAAGUGUUAGAGGGUUUCCGCCCUUUAGUGCUGCAGCUAACGCAUUAAGCACUCCGCCUGGGGAGUACGGUCGCAAGACUG
rnacentral:rRNA from 1 species